rnacentral:rRNA from 2 species
GAUUGCCUCAGUAACGGCGAGUGAAGCGGCAAGAGCUCAAAUUUGAAAGCUGGCCCCUCCGGGGUCCGCAUUGUAAUUUGCAGAGGAUGCUUCGGGCUCAGCCCCCGUCUAAGUGCCCUGGAACGGGCCGUCGGAGAGGGUGAGAAUCCCGUCUGGGACGGGGUGCCUGGGUCCAUGUGAAGCUCCUUCGACGAGUCGAGUUGUUUGGGAAUGCAGCUCUAAAUGGGUGGUAAAUUUCAUCUAAAGCUAAAUACUGGCCGGAGACCGAUAGCGCACAAGUAGAGUGAUCGAAAGAUGAAAAGCACUUUGAAAAGAGAGUUAAACAGCACGUGAAAUUGUUGAAAGGGAAGCGCUUGCGAUCAGACUCGCCUGCGGGGUUCAGCCGGCAUUCGUGCCGGUGUACUUCCCCGUGGGCGGGCCAGCGUCGGUUCGGGUGGCCGGUCAAAGGCCCCGGGAAUGUGUCGCCCUCCGGGGCGUCUUAUAGCCCGGGGUGCCAUGCGGCCUACCUGGACCGAGGAACGCGCUUCGGCUCGGACGCUGGCGUAAUGGUCGUAAGCGACCCGUCUUGAAACACGGACCAAGGAGUCUAACAUCUACGCGAGUGUUUGGGUGGCAAACCCAUACGCGCAGUGAAAGCGAACGGAGGUGGGAACCCUUCGGGGCGCACCAUCGACCGAUCCUGAUGUCUUCGGAUGGAUUUGAGUAAGAGCGUAGCUGUGGGGACCCGAAAGAUGGUGAACUAUGCCUGAAUAGGGCGAAGCCAGAGGAAACUCUGGUGGAGGCUCGCAGCGGUUCUGACGUGCAAAUCGAUCGUCAAAUUUGGGUAUAGGGGCGAA